AGUGAUUUGGAACGCAUUUAGCAG
rnacentral:miRNA from 2 species